UAGGCAAUGAACAGCUGGGGAAAGCCAAUACGUGUUAGCAAUGGAGAAAAAGAUUCAUGGGUAUCACCCUUUGACGUAUCUUCUAUCUUUAUUUUGAAAAGAAAAAUUGAUAGUCAAUUAGCUAAAUGACAUUCUAAUUUCUUAAAGUUGCUUAUACACGUAUUUUAGGAACAAUCUGGUAAAGAUAUAUCUAAAGGAACACUUGCGCAACGUGCUCGACGAGAACGAGAACGAAUUUUUAAACAAACCACUGAAAGGCGAUCGGAACAACACUCGCCGAUAAAUACAAGUAUUCAACCUCUCCGAGAUGGGCAUAUUAGAGCCGAUGGGCGAGACCACCAUGCUAUCCAUGUUCAUGAGGAUAUACAAAAACUAGGGGCAAUGGCUAAGAAAAGGAAGGCAACGUAUGUAGGGAGUGGAAAGGAAAACUCUGAG